CACGUAGGCGGCGAUUUAAGUCAGAGGUGAAAGCCCGGGGCUCAACCCCGGAACUGCCUUUGAGACUGGAUUGCUUGAAUCCUGGAGAGGUGAGUGGAAUUCCGAGUGUAGAGGUGAAAUUCGUAGAUAUUCGGAAGAACACCAGUGGCGAAGGCGGCUCACUGGACAGGUAUUGACGCUGAGGUGCGAGAGCGUGGGGAGCAAACA
rnacentral:rRNA from 1 species